CCUACGGGGGGCUGCAGUGGGGAAUAUUGGACAAUGGGGGCAACCCUGAUCCAGCCAUGCCGCGUGUGUGAAGAAGGCCCUCGGGUUGUAAAGCACUUUCAGUGAGGAAGAACGCCUGGUGGUUAAUACCCAUCAGGAAAGACAUCACUCACAGAAGAAGCACCGGCUAACUCCGUGCCAGCAGCCGCGGUAAUACGGAGGGUGCGAGCGUUAAUCGGAAUUACUGGGCGUAAAGCGCGCGUAGGUGGCUUGAUAAGCCGGUUGUGAAAGCCCCGGGCUCAACCUGGGAACGGCAUCCGGAACUGUCAAGCUAGAGUGCAGGAGAGGAAGGUAGAAUUCCCGGUGUAGCGGUGAAAUGCGUAGAGAUCGGGAGGAAUACCAGUGGCGAAGGCGGCCUUCUGGACUGACACUGACACUGAGGUGCGAGAGCGUGGGUAGCAAACAGGAUUAGAUACCCCUGUAGUC
rnacentral:rRNA from 1 species